UUCUGUUUUUUGCUGUUCUAAAUAUUGACGCACCCUAACUUAGUCAUCUCACUAUCUGCACUUGCUUAUCACUGUCUUCGCAAAGCUCUUGCAAAAGCUCGGCUUACCAUGCAGGGCAGUGGCGUAUAGUCGAAAGCUUAGCAGUAGAGAAAAGCAAUUAGACAAAGUAGACGUAUUUAUUGUCUCUCGGCAACCGAAUUUGUAUAUUCUGCCAUAUUAUAAUCUGGCAGAGAAAACCAGAUCACCACCAUAAUAGUGAGAAUAUAUGCGAGAAUAGACGUAUAUACAUAUAUUUAUAUAUAAAUGAAUAGUGCAGUGAUAAAUUCGAAAACUAAUACAGUUCGGCUCAUCGAACUCGUCACUGACGGAUGUUAGCCUCUCUCUAGUGGUCCAAUCAAACUCUAUGACAACUAUAGAGCGCUGUGUGACCCUAGUGAACUCUAGUAUCAAUAAUCCAUUGGGUGCACGAAUUUGGUUGGACGUCACAACAAGGUUGGCUGCUCAUCGGAGCACCAAAGACUCUGAUUCUGACAUACACACAAAGAUCACGGCCUGGCAUUAAAUUGAUUAUUAAUGGAUCGUAUGUGCCUGAAGAUCAGGCAUACACUGGAUGAGUAGCUCGUUGUACAACAACAGUACAACAAUCCACAAUGCAACAACAAUAAAUUCUUUUUUGUAUAUAGUAUCAAUCAUUCCAUAAUUGUUUGCUAUGAUUUGCUGAGAAGCGACACGAAUUUCAUCGUCUGUAUCUUCUUGUUAUUUUGUACUAAAUUAGUAAACAUAAAAGCAAUAAUUGUAAUAGAAAA